AGAGUUUGAUCCUGGCUCAGAUUGAACGCUGGUGGCAUGCUCGGCAGGCCUAACACAUGCAAGUCGAGCGAGAAAGCCCUUCGGGGUGAGUAUAGCGGCGGACGGGUGAGUAACGCGUAGGAAUCUACCCAGUAGCGGGGGACAACAUGUGGAAACGCAUGCUAAUACCGCAUACGCCCUACGGGGGAAAGCAGGGGAUCCAUUUAUGGACCUUGCGCUAUUGGAUGAGCCUGCGUCGGAUUAGCUAGUUGGUGGGGUAAAGGCCUACCAAGGCGACGAUCCGUAGCUGGUCUGAGAGGAUGAUCAGCCACACUGGGACUGAGACACGGCCCAGACUCCUACGGGAGGCAGCAGUGGGGAAUAUUGCGCAAUGGGGGCAACCCUGACGCAGCCAUGCCGCGUGUGUGAAGAAGGCCUUAGGGCUGUAAAGCACUUUCAGUAGGGAGGAAAAGUUGGUCGUUAAUAACGGCUAACCCUGACGUUACCUACAGAAGAAGCACCGGCUAACUCCGUGCCAGCAGCCGCGGUAAUACGGAGGGUGCGAACGUUAAUCGGAAUUACUGGGCGUAAAGCGCGCGUAGGCGGUUUGUUAAGUGGGAUGUGAAAGCCCCGGGCUCAACCUGGGAAUUGCGUUCCAAACUGGCGAACUAGAGUAUGGUAGAGGAAGGUAGAAUUCCCUGUGUAGCGGUGAAAUGCGUAGAUAUAGGGAGGAAUACCAGUGGCGAAGGCGGGCUUCUGGCCCAAUACUGACGCUGAGGUGCGAAAGCGUGGGGAGAAAACAGGAUUAGAUACCCUGGUAGUCCACGCCGUAAACGAUGUCAACUAGCCGUUGGGCCCCUAAAAGGUUUAGUGACGAAGCUAACGCGAUAAGUUGACCGCCUGGGGAGUACGGCCGCAAGGCUAAAACUCAAAUGAAUUGACGGGGGCCCGCACAAGCGGUGGAGCAUGUGGUUUAAUUCGACACAACGCGAAGAACCUUACCUACUCUUGACAUCCUCGGAACUUAGCAGAGAUGCUUUGGUGCCUUCGGGAACCGAGUGACAGGUGCUGCAUGGCUGUCGUCAGCUCGUGUCGUGAGAUGUUGGGUUAAGUCCCGUAACGAGCGCAACCCUUAUCCUUAUUUGCCAGCAUUCAGUUGGGGACUAUAAGGAGACUGCCGGUGAUAAACCGGAGGAAGGUGGGGACGACGUCAAGUCAUCAUGGCCCUUACGUCUUGGGCUACACACGUGCUACAAUGGGGAGUACAGAGGGUUGCCAAGCCGCGAGGUGGAGCUAAUCCCAGAAAACUUCUCGUAGUCCGGAUUGGAGUCUGCAACUCGACUCCAUGAAGUUGGAAUCGCUAGUAAUCGCGAAUCAGAAUGUCGCGGUGAAUACGUUCCCGGGCCUUGUACACACCGCCCGUCACAUCAUGGGAGUGUGUUGCACCAGAAGUAGCUAGUUUAACCUUCGGGAUGACGGUUACCACGGUGUGAUUCAUGACUUCAUGACUGGGGUGAAGUCGUAACAAGGUAACC
rnacentral:rRNA from 1 species